rfam:Subdoligranulum sp. 4_3_54A2FAA genomic scaffold supercont1.6, whole genome shotgun sequence.
GCCGGUGCCGAUGACGCCAAGGUUCCACCUGUUCCCAUUCCGAACACAGAAGUUAAGCUUGGUUGUGCCGAAGAUACUUGGUUGGAGACGACCUGGGAAAAUAGGUAGGUGCCGGCU